rnacentral:rRNA from 1 species
CCUACGGGAGGCAGCAGUGGGGAAUAUUGGACAAUGGGGGGAACCCUGAUCCAGCCAUGCCGCGUGUGUGAAGAAGGCCCUCGGGUUGUAAAGCACUUUCAGUGAGGAAGAACGCCUGGUGGUUAAUACCCAUCAGGAAAGACAUCACUCACAGAAGAAGCACCGGCUAACUCCGUGCCAGCAGCCGCGGUAAUACGGAGGGUGCGAGCGUUAAUCGGAAUUACUGGGCGUAAAGCGCGCGUAGGUGGCUUGAUAAGCCGGUUGUGAAAGCCCCGGGCUCAACCUGGGAACGGCCUCCGGAACUGUCAAGCUAGAGUGCAGGAGAGGUGGGUAGAAUUCCCGGUGUAGAGGUGAAAUGCGUAGAGAUCGGGAGGAACACCAGUGGCGAAGGCGGCCCACUGGAGUGACACUGACCCUGCGGUGCGCAUGCUUGGAUAGCAAACAGGAUUAGAGACCCAAGUAGGC